GACGAACGCUGGCGGCGUGCCUAAUACAUGCAAGUCGAACGCAGUGGGGACGGGUGAGUAACACGUGGGUAACCUCCCAUCAGAGGGGAUAACACUUGGAAACAGGUGCUAAAACGAUCCUGCUGGAUGGACACGCAGUGCAUUUGCUAGUUGGUGAGGUAACGGCUAACCAAGGCCACGAUGCAUAGCCGACCUGAGAGGGUGAUCGGCAACAAUGGGACUGAGACACGGCCCAGACUCCUACGGGAGGCAGCAGUAGGGAAUCUUCGGCAAUGGACGAAAGUCUGACCGAGCAACGCCGCGUGAGUGAAGAAGGUUUUCGGAUCGUAAAACUCUGUUGUUAGAGAAGCGGUAUCUAACCAGAAAGCCACGGCUAACUACGUGCCAGCAGCCGCGGUAAUUC
rnacentral:rRNA from 1 species